rnacentral:rRNA from 1 species
UACGGAGGGUGCAAGCGUUGCUCGGAAUUAUUGGGCGUAAAGGGUAGGUAGGCGGUCUCAUUUGUCUGGGGUGAAAUCCUUGAGCUUAACUCAAGAAGUGCCCCAGAAACGGUGAGACUAGAGUCCUGGAGAGGGUCGUGGAAUUCCCGGUGUAGCGGUGAAAUGCGUAGAGAUCGGGAGGAACACCAGAGGCGAAAGCGGCGACCUGGACAGGCACUGACACUCAACUACGAAAGCGUGGGGAGCAAACAGG